rnacentral:tRNA from 1 species
UGGGGUGUAGCUUACUGAUAGAGUGCUUGCCUAGAAUGCAUGAGACCCUAGGCUCAAUUCUCAGCAUCGCAA